rnacentral:lncRNA from 1 species
UAAAUCUCCAGAUGAACUUGGAGUCAAAAAGACACACAAAAUGAAACUACACAUAUUUGUAAGAUGCUUGCAUUCUACUGAGAAAGACAACAAAUAU